rnacentral:sRNA from 7 species
GACGAGGAUGAGAACCUCCGGGGGCAAGAGGUUCGACUCGAGCGAAGCGAGAGAACGUUGCGUCAGCAACGGCCCGCAGUGGCAAGUCAUCCUCUGUCACCGGCAG